AUUGAACGCUGGCGGCAUGCCUUACACAUGCAAGUCGAACGGCAGCGGACCUUCGGGUGCCGGCGAGUGGCGAACGGGUGAGUAAUGCAUCGGAACGUGCCAUUGAGUGGGGGAUAACGUAGCGAAAGUUACGCUAAUACCGCAUAUUCUGUGAGCAGGAAAGCAGGGGACCGCAAGGCCUUGCGCUCUUUGAGCGGCCGAUGUCAGAUUAGCUAGUUGGUGAGGUAAAGGCUUACCAAGGCGACGAUCGGUAGCUGGUCUGAGAGGAUGAUCAGCCACACUGGGACUGAGACACGGCCCAGACUCCUACGGGAGGCAGCAGUGGGGAAUAUUGGACAAUGGGCGCAAGCCUGAUCCAGCAAUGCCGCGUGUGUGAAGAAGGCCUGCGGGUUGUAAAGCACUUUCAGUGGGGAAGAACAGAUUCGGGUCAAUACCCCGGAGCCCUGACGUUACCCACAGAAGAAGCACCGGCUAACUCCGUGCC
rnacentral:rRNA from 1 species